UAGGGAAUCUUGCACAAUGGGCGAAAGCCUGAUGCAGCAACGCCGCGUGCGCGAUGAAGGCCUUCGGGUCGUAAAGCGCUUUUCUGGGAGACGAGGAAGGACGGUAUCCCAGGAAUAAGGCUCGGCUAACUACGUGCCAGCAGCCGCGGUAAAACGUAGGAGCCAAGCGUUAUCCGAAUUUACUGGGCGUAAAGCGCGUGCAGGUGGCUCGAUAAGUUGGCUGUGAAAUCGCCUGGCUCAACUGGGCGAGGCCGGUCAAGACUGUCGGGCUAGAGGGCAGUAGAGGGAGGUGGAACUUCCCGGUGUAGUGGUGAAAUGCGUAGAGAUCGGGAGGAACACCAGUGGCGAAAGCGGCCUCCUGGGCUGUACCUGACACUCAGACGCGAAAGCGUAGGGGAGCGGAACGGGAUUAGGAAACCCCGGUAGUCCUAGCCGUAAACGAUGCGACUUGGCGUCGGUGGGUAAAAGCCAGCGGUGCCGGAG
rnacentral:rRNA from 1 species